UACGUAGGGUGCAAGCGUUGUCCGGAAUUAUUGGGCGUAAAGAGCUCGUAGGCGGUCUGUCGCGUCGGCUGUGAAAACCCGGAGCUCAACUCCGGGCCUGCAGUCGAUACGGGCAAACUGGAGUGUUGCAGGGGAGACUGGAAUUCCUGGUGUAGCGGUGAAAUGCGCAGAUAUCAGGAGGAACACCGGUGGCGAAGGCGGGUCUCUGGGCCGAUACUGACGCUGAGGAGCGAAAGCGUGGGGAGCAAACAGG
rnacentral:rRNA from 1 species